AGUGCAGGUGAUGAUAAAACAGACAGGGACAUCAGAACUCCUUUGGAGGAUGUUGACUUAUGUCUUGGGAAUCUCUCUGAUGCACA